UAUUCAAAUGAGAACUUUGAAGACUGAAGUGGAGAAGGGUUUCUUGUCAACUGUGAUUGUACAAGAGUUAGCCGCUCCUAAGGGAAAGCUGAAAUGCGUUAAAUGGGGUUUUGAUGCCGCGGGCAACCGCGGCCACUCUCCCCGUCCCGAAAGGGAAACAGGUUGAUAUUCCUGUGCCGAUAGUAAUUUGGGUAUUGGAGAUGGUAACAUAUAUAUAAAUGAACUCCUUUACGUAGGUCUUACACUCGGGGUGCGUUUUCUUUGCACUUUAACUUUAUAUCCGACCUCGGAAUCAAUUUAGUUGGAGAAGAGGUUUGAUGAAUCCAAUUCGGGGUAAUCUGUUAUGGGCGGAGCAAUCCGCCUUUUUCAUGAUUCCCCGUUUUGAGUAAUAGUAAUUCAUUUUUAUGGAUUAUCCGAAGCCGUAAGGACUACCCUUGAAAAAAGGAGGGAACAGCAAGAGGUGAGUUUACUUGCUUCUUGCCGCCCUGAUUUACUUGUAUGAGCGUACCAACAACCGCAUCAGGUCUCCUAGGUUAACAGCCUCUGGUUAAAUAGAAAAAAGUAAGUAAGGGAAGUCGGCAAAAUAGAUCCGUAACUUCGGGAAAAGGAUUGGCUCUGAGGACAUUUGAGUAGAGAAGUUUAAAUUAACGUUUGGAAAAUGUUAUAAGGAAAGCACCUUGGUUCGCCAAGGUGUUUUUAUCUUAUUUCGUUAUCCUCAUGUUUUUUUUAUUCUAUCCCUCUACUCGCCGCUGUUUGGUUAUUACUUCGGUGAUUUCCAAAUGGCUCUAACAUGUUAACUCAGAACUGAAACGGACAAGGGGAAUCCGACUGUUUAAUUAAAACAUAGCAUUGUGAAAGCCACAAAUGGUAUUAACACAAUGUGAUUUCUGCCCAGUGCUUUGAAUGUCAACUUGAUGAAAUUCAAUCAAGCGCAGGUAAACGGCGGGAGUAACUAUGACUCUCUUAAGGUAGCCAAAUGCCUCGUCAUCUAAUUAGUGACGCGCAUGAAUGGAUUAACGAGAUUCCCACUGUCCCUACUUGCUAUCUAGCGAAACCACAGCCAAGGGAACGGGCUUGGCCAAAUCAGCGGGGAAAGAAGACCCUGUUGAGCUUUACUCUAGUCUGGCUUUGUGAAACGACUUAAGAGGUGUAGCAUAAGUGGGAGCAGAGAUUGAAAUAUAUUUUUGCGACAGUGAAAUACCACUACUUUUAAAGUUGUUUUACUUAUCUAUUUAUAGGGAAAUAUAUUUACGUUUGCCAGUUUGCUGGUCGCGCGUAUCUGAUAUUAUUGGAUUUUGAUGGGCCCCCCGGGCCCUCAUUUCUCUCCCGCUUCUAUGGAGACAUAGCCAGGUGGGGAGUUUGACUGGGGCGGUACAUCUGUUAAACAAUAACGCAGAUGUCCAAAGACAAGCUCAAAGAGAACAGAAAUCUCUUGUAGACUAAAAGGGGAAAAGCUUGUUUGAUUUCUAUUUUCAGAAAAAGUAGAAAACGUGAAAGCGUGGCCUAUCGAUCCUUUAUAUUUGCAAAAUGACGGGACUUGCUCCCUACUGUGCAUAUAGAGGUGUCUGAAAAGUUACCACAGGGAUAACUGGCUUGUGGCUGCCAAGCGCUCCUAGCGACGUAGCUUUUUGAUCCUUCGAUGUCGGCUCUUCCUAUCAUUGGGACGCAGAAGUCUCAAAGUGUCGGAUUGUUCACCCGCUAAUAGGGAACGUGAGCUGGGUUUAGACCGUCGUGAGACAGGUUAGUUUUACCCUACUGAUGAAUUUAUUAUUAUAUAUAAUGUAUUGUGACAGUAAUCCAACUUGGUACGAGAGGAUUAGUUGGUUCAGACAAUUGGUACAGCAAUUGGUUGACAAACCAGUGUUGCGAAGCUAAGUCUGUUGGAUAAUGGCUGAACGCCUCUUAAGCCAGAACCCAUGCUGAUUAAACAAUACUAUUUCGUUCUUCUUUGUUUCAACUUUUACUGCUGAUGUAAAAGCGAAGCUAUAUGUAUAACUUCUGUUAUACAAUUAAUCCCAUUGCCAUUUGGAGGCUUGCCUCCUUUUGGUUACUGUAAUUAACAACAAAGAUGAAUUACACAAACUGUAGACGACUUUUUGGCCUCGGGGUGCUGUAAACAUGAAAGUAAACUUUGUUUUACGAUCUGUUGAGGCUUAUCCUCUGUGGUAAAGUGUUCUUUUUAUAUUUAAUUAUAAAUAAAAACUAUUUAUAAUUAUAUAUAAAUUAUCUAAAAUAUUACUAUAUAAAAAAUGUAGUUUUAAUUGGUAUAUAAAUUUGUACCUUUUAAAAUUAACAUUUUUUAUAUAACCUUAACAAUUUUAAAAUAUCAAAUUUUUACUUUUUAUGACAAUUAUUGUGUUUAUUUUUUUGUGACAUGCUUUUUCAUACUAUUAUAUAUGUUUGUUUAUCAUAUUAUCGCCAUAAUUAUUGGCUAGGAAAAAAUUUUAACUAAUUAUUUAAAUACUUUAAAUUUCUUCUCUUAAAUAUUAUAUAUAUAUUACUAAUGAAUAAUAAGGUUUUAUAGGUUUAAUAUAUAAAAUUAUGUUCUUUUAUAUAUAUAUUAUAUGUAAUGAUAUAUUUUAUAGUAAAAGCAUUUACAUAUAUAUUUUAUAAAAUUUUUAAUAGUGACAAAAAUUUCUUGU
rnacentral:rRNA from 1 species